rnacentral:lncRNA from 1 species
AUUUAACUAACAUACAGUGUACUAUUAGUUUCAGGGAUAGAAUUUAGUGAUUCAUCAGUUGCAUAUAACACUCAGUGCUCAUUCUAUCAAGUGCCCUCCUUAAUGCCCAUCAACAAGUUACCCCAUCCACCUACUCCUAUCCCCUCCAGGAACCCUCAGUUUGUUUCCUAGAGUUAAGAAUCUCUUAUGUUUGUCUCCCUCUCUGAUUUUGUCUUAUUUUUCAUUCCCUUCCCUUAUGUUAACUGUUUUGUUUCUUAAAUUCCAAAUACAAGUGAAAGAAUAUAUUUGUCUUUCUCUGACUUAUUUCCCUUAGCAUAAUACUCUCUAGUUCCAUCCACAUCAUUGAAAAUGGCAAGAUUCCAUUCUUUUUUGAUGGCUGAAUAAUGUUCUGGUGUGUGUGUGUGUGUGUGUGUGUGUGUGUGUGUAUGACAUCUUCUUUAUCCAUUCAUCUGUUAAUGGAAAUCUGGGCUCUUUCUAUAUUUUAAAGUGAGCCACACUUUUUUUUUUUUUUUAUAGAAACAAUGAACAGCAGAGUGUAUGGAAAUUAGUCAGGCCACAUAAGCAGACAAAGCCACAGUGUAACUAAAACAUAGCACUCUAAUACCCUGACUGUAUCCACCACAUAGAACAGGACCACUUGGAAAGGUAUGUUCUGACAUUGCAGCCCUGAUAGCAGCACUAGAGAUUUUCCCUUCCUCUCACUAACUUCUCAGCCAGGGUCCCUCCUCUGUUCAAGGCCAACGGUAGUGGAUAUCACCAUGGCUGCCCUCCCCAACAAAAAUUAGCUGGUAAAGGUUUAUAAGAUAUUAUCUGGGAACAGUAGUGGGAAAAGAAGAGCUUUAGCAUAAAACAGCUCAUCUGCAGUAAGUAAACAUCCCCACCAUUGGUGGAUCAGAGAGCAAAGUUCUAGGCCUUGGAGCUAUAGUGGAAAAGAUACUCACCAGGAGAACAAUUCUGAAGUCAUUCUUACUACAAGAGGAUUCCUAACUCAAUAUAUGCCAUGUCUUAAAAGCCAACAGGGAAAAAUAGGUGACUCCAGGACACCAUAAAUACACUGGCUUCAGUUAUACUUAAAAACUACACAUCAACACUAAUGAAAAGAGGUAGACUUAGACUAUGUCAGAGCUUAGGAAACUGAGGCAGAGAUUUCCCAUUGUCAUGUGGGAGCUCUAGGGAUGGAGCACAGCCAGAACCUGGAUCUUCUGAGUCUCAAGCUGUUAAUUUUUCAUGACAUGACAUUGCUAACAAGCCUGAGUCAAGGUCCUUAAUGUUAAAAAAAAAAAAAAAA